rnacentral:lncRNA from 1 species
ACAGGGCGGCAGCUGGGAACCCGGUGGCCCCGGUCCCAGCCUGGGCAGCGCUGGCCCAAGUCUAGGCCAGGCAGGGGGCUGGCAUUCCCCUAAUAGUCCCGACCCAGGGGCAACUGCGGCUGUUCUCUUACCCACUCUCACUAAGCCCUCAGUACCCUGUGGGUAAACUGAGGCACUGAAGGUGAACGACUUGCCCCAGGUCACCAGGAGGUGGAGCAGCGAGGACCAAGCCAGGUCUCCUGGCACCACGCAAGAUGCAGUGGUUCUCACGCUGAAACUGGAAGAGCAAGACGGCCCUUGAGUGGCAGGCGGCUCGGCCAAUCAGGACAGGCCUUCAGGGGGGCGGUUGGGCAGCAGCGGCAGCUGGCAGCUGGCUGGGGUCCGGGACUAAGUCUCUCCCCUGCAGGUGUGGACGCGCCGGGCCGAGGAGACCCUGACGCUGGCUUUCUGGGGCCUGGGCUGUGUCCCAGCCCUGCCUUCCCUGGCCCGGGGGACGCGCCUCAGCCUGUCCUCACUGGGAGAAACAUUACCUCCUCCAGGAGACCCCUCCUCCAGCCAGUCACCCUCAUCCUGGACCCCAGGACACACGUUGGUGAGGGGCUUCCUUCUGGUAGCACUGGCUCUGGGAGCAGCCCCCACAGCAGGCUCCAGCGAGAGACUGACUGCCCGGGUUCGAAUGCAGGUCUGUCACCUCCAAGCUGCGUGAUCUUGGGCGCAUGACUGAACCCCUCUGAACCCCACUCUACCCCUCUGUGAAAUGAGGAAGAUAGAACCUAUUAUUCAGAUGUUUCCAGACACUAAAUUACAAAACGUGGGUAAAACGCCUGGCGUAUGAUCAGCUGUCAGCAAACGGCAGUUACUGUAACUCAUCCUGCUCUAAAGUAAUUUCUACUUGUUCAUUGCCCACUGCACUGUGAUGUCUGGAGAGGGAAGGCGACAUGUUCCUCAUGAGGACAAAGUAGGUGCUCGAAAAAUGCUGCUGAAUGAAAAAUGAACAGGUAGGGGCCGGGGAUUUAGCUCAGUGGCUAUGGGCCUGCCUUGAAGCGCAAGGUCCUGAGUUCAGUCCCCGGUGCCACACACACACCACACACACACACAAAGAACUGGGUAGAUAAAUGGUGGAAUGGAUGAAUAGAUGGUGAGGUGUGACAGGAUGGAUAGAUAUAUGGGGAGAUAGAUGGAUGGGUCAAUGGCAGGAUGUUGGAUGGAAGGAUGGAUGGGUAGAUAGGUAGAUGGAUAGCUGGGUGGAUGGAUGGAUUGGUGGAUGGAUGGAUGGAUGGAAAGAUGGAUGGGUAGAUGGAUAGGUGGGCGGGUGGAUGGGUGGAUUGACAGACUGGUGGAUAGGUAGGUAAAUGGGUAGGUGGGGGUAGGUGGAUGGUUGGAUGGAUGGAUG